rnacentral:rRNA from 1 species
UACGAAGGGGGCGAGCGUUGUUCGGAAUUACUGGGCGUAAAGGGCGCGUAGGCGGCGACCCAAGUCAGAUGUGAAAGUCCUGGGCUUAACCUGGGGACUGCAUUUGAUACUGGGUUGCUUGAAUUCGGGAGAGGAUAGCGGAAUUCCCAGUGUAGAGGUGAAAUUCGUAGAUAUUGGGAAGAACACCGGUGGCGAAGGCGGCUAUCUGGACCGACAUUGACGCUGAGGCGCGAAAGCGUGGGGAGCGAUCCGG